rnacentral:rRNA from 1 species
AACGAACGCUGGCGGCAUGCCUAACACAUGCAAGUCGAACGAGACCCUCGGGUCUAGUGGCGCACGGGUGCGUAACGCGUGGGAACCUGCCCUUAGGUUCGGAAUAACUCCCCGAAAGGGGUGCUAAUACCGGAUAAUGUCUUCGGACCAAAGAUUUAUCGCCUUUGGAUGGGCCCGCGUUGGAUUAGCUCGUUGGUAGGGUAAAAGCCUACCAAGGCGACGAUCGAUAGCUGGUCUGAGAGGAUGAGCAGCCACACUGGGACUGAGACACGGCCCAGACUACUACGGGAGGCAGCAGUGGGGAAUAUUGGACAAUGGGCGAAAGCAUGAUCCAGCAAUGCCGCGUGAGUGAUGAAGGCCGUAGGGUUGUAAAGCUCUUUUACCCGGGAUGAUAAUGACAGUACCGGGAGAAUAAGCUCCGGCUAACUCCGUG